CCUACGGGAGGCAGCAGUGGGGGAUAUUGCACAAUGGGGGGAACCCUGAUGCAGCGACGCCGCGUGGGUGAAGAAGCGCCUCGGCGCGUAAAGCCCUGUCAGCAGGGAAGAAAAUGACGGUACCUGAAGAAGAAGCCCCGGCUAACUACGUGCCAGCAGCCGCGGGAAUACGUAGGGGGCAAGCGUUAUCCGGAUUUACUGGGUGUAAAGGGGGCGCAGACGGCGAUGCAAGCCAGGGGUGAAAGCCCGGGGCCCAACCCCGGGACUGCUCUUGGAACUGCGUGGCUGGAGUGCAGGAGGGGCAGGCGGAAGUCCUGGUGUAGCGGUGAAAUGCGUAGAUAUCAGGAGGAACACCGGUGGCGAAGGCGGCCUGCUGGACUGCAACUGACGUUGAGGCCCGAAAGCGUGGGGAGCAAACAGGAUUAGAUACCCGGGUAGUC
rnacentral:rRNA from 1 species